CGUGUAGGCGGCCAUGCAGGUCAGCUGUGAAAACUCGAGGCUCAACCUCGAGACGUCGGUUGAAACCGUAUGGCUAGAGUCCGGAAGAGGAGAGUGGAAUUCCCGGUGUAGCGGUGAAAUGCGCAGAUAUCGGGAAGAACACCCAUGGCGAAGGCAGCUCUCUGGGACGGUACUGACGCUGAGACGCGAAGGCGUGGGGAGCGAACA
rnacentral:rRNA from 1 species